GUCCACAUCACAGUCCAUGAGCAAGGGAAGCGAGGCAGGAAUCUUAAGCAGGAACAGUAGAGGAACCACUGCCUACUGGCUUGCUCUCCAUAACUUGCUCAGCUUGCUCGCUUAUACAACCCAGGGCCAUCUGCGAGUGGUGCCACAGUCCACAUCCAUCUUCAAUCAAGACACGCCCACAGGUCAGUCUGUCAGGCAGCUCCUCAGUUGAGGUUCCCUCUUCCCCGUGACUGUAGUUUGUCAAAUUAACAAGAAUUAAUCAGUGCAGGUGUUGUGAAACAAUUUCCACCUGAAAAAUGAGAAAUAAAAAUAGUAUCUUAACGAGAUUCACUCAUGAAUCUGCGGCAGCAGCAUGGCCUGGGAGAGCUCAUCCCUGCUCUGCUUUGUAAGCUCCAUGGCUCAAGGCCAGCACGGCCGGCUCAGUCCCAUGUCCUGCUUCCUGUUCCGAGCCCCUCACGCAAACCUUGGGUGUCUCUGGCUAUUGAUAGUUGCACAGGUGCUCCCAGGUCGAUGGACUUCAGACGCGGGUCACUGCCAUCAGGAAACAGCUGAGUCACGAACUCCCAGGUCCAAGGGGAGGAAGCAGAUUCCAGGGUCUGUGGAGGACUGCCCGGCCUAUGUUGUAAGAAAUACACGAAGACAAAGAUAGGCCCUUAUGUGGAUGAGGAUUUAAAGGAGUUCGAGUCAUUUCUUGCCUCAGUACUGUACCCUGCCUGGUGUCCACUUAAGUCUUUCAGUUUCCCGCCCAGCACAUUCCACUUGGGGCAAGGGACCUGUAGAGUCAUCCUUGAGCCUGCAUGCCCGACAUGGCAGGUCUUCCAGCUGGUCCUGCGUUUUCUUUUCUGCGGCUGCUGCUGGCUCCUCUGCAGAGGUCAACAGUGGCGCCCAUAUUCCUGCCCCUCCUCUGUGGAGCUCUCUCUGAACCUGUGCAGAUUUGAAAGACGCUGUAGCUCUCCUGGGCUGUUGCAGUCUGUGCCACAACCUGCAUUCCAGCCCCGUUUCUGGCCGGGACACAGCCAGUGUGACCAUCUGCAGCCGCCAUACUCCCCAAGUCUCAACCUCUCAGAAUUAAUUGUAUGCGGCUCAGCCAGGUUUCGGAGAGAACAUCCCGGUCUUCAGGAGCCCAGGGACAUACAAAGCAGAAGGAAAGCCUGCUCCUCCCUGGGACUCUCCUUGCUCUGUAGGCCUCGAGAUUCCUGCAGACUCAAACCACCCAUCCUCCCCGCCCAGCCGGAGCUAAGGGCCAACUCCAUCAGGCAGCAGGCAAGAACCUAAGAACCGAGUCUGUGUUGAUCUGCAGCCUCUGAUAAGUUCGGAAAACAAGGAGAAUUUGAAAGGGGGAGGAUCAGCCACCGUCCGUGUCCCCUGCAAUGACUAGGGGCUCUUCCACUUCGGCCUGCUGGCCUCAGGCCUCCCACCCAGGAUGUGCGGCAUCCAGUGGCGGGUCCACGGCUCGGGAGUAGGAGGUUGCGACACCAGCACAAUAGCCACCAUUUCCGAUGGUUGCGCGCUCCCCGCCCGCUCCUCCCAGGGCACAGGCCUCGGGAGCACUCCUCGCCCAUUUGGUGGCCCAGGUGUUCCCCAGCGGCUUCCAGGAACUUAAGUGUCAACGAAAGCAUGCUUCCUUUCUGCAAACAAGGAGACUCUGUGGGUCUGUGGAUCUGGGUCACCCCGCCCUUUGCGGUCUGGGGACCCUGCGCCCCAGGCUCCCGAGAUGGCCACCAGAGGGCGCACGAGCGCCGCCACGAGCAGGACCUCCGCCCCGGGCGCGGGACCCGGGCCAGGGCGCUGCGGGGGGGGGGAUCAGACCCGGCCUGGUCACACGGUGCCCCUGGGCAGGGUGACCCAGUGAUCUGGCUCUGCGGAGGGGCCACCGUGAUGGCCCUCUCCAGGACCCGAACCAACAGGGAUCACCAG
ensembl:lncRNA